AGUCAGCUUCUAUCAACAGCCUCAGGUGGCGAGCAUGCUUAUCGACAAACCAUCAGUAUCUCACCAGUGCUAUACAAUACUUGGAAGCGUUGGAGGCCAGAAUUGCAGCACUCGAGUUGGGCCAAAUGUCCAAGCGAUCAGAUGGGCGGGGAACUAGAUCGUGCGACCUAAACGGCGGAAGCUCACUAUCGUGUGACCUGAUUGAAGGUGGAGGGGGUGGAAAUACAGGUGGCGCCAUCGGCGGCGCAGGAAAGCGCUAGGAGUCGCAGCAGUCUGAGGACACACAUUUCUGUUUGUAUUGUUGCGUUUGUUCUGCUGCUGCGAAUUUCAAAUUAACAUUCACCAUUUUCACCGGUAACCGGUAGCCAUUUGUUUGCAUUUGUUAUAACGUGUCGUCUUCAAAACACCUGUGAUGUAUUUUCUCAAGCUCUGCCGAACUCUCACGAACAUCAUAUGAUAUUAAACCAGCUAUCCGCCCGCUGAGUGGCCCUUAAACGGGGUUUGACGUAGUAAACAUGUGCAAAUUUCACCACGGCAGCCGUUGUUGCGUUUCCAUAUGGCGAUAUAGAAUUUAGCAUUCAUGUAUUGCAUCUUAAAUUCGUUGAACAAGACUUAUUGUGUUUUUUCCGAUUUGUGGAACACAAUAAUUAUAAUCUCAAUUGAUCGCUGUGAUGCUGAAAAUGUCAUUGGUUUAUGAUAGAAGUGAGUAAAUAACAAGAUAUGUGGAUGGGAGAGGAAUAUAUUGCCGCUAGGGGUUAUGGCCGGAUAGCUGUUUUAACCUGUUUUCUGGUUUAUGCAAUCAAAUUAUUCAAAGUUGCGUCAUGCAGGCAUGGUAGUCCGCGUUGCAUGUACUGCUUUCAGUAAUUGUUUAGAUGUAUAUGGAUUUAUGCAUGGCAUGUGAAUCUCUUCCGUUGAUAAGUGGCUAAGAUAUCAUAACUCGCUAUUGUUACAUUCGUUAUUUAUGCAAAAGUUAGCACUGUAAAUGUAAAACGUGGAACGGCCUAGUGCGGCAAUAAAAAUAUUAAUUAUUUUGAAAUCAGCU